GAGUGGAUGAAAACUAUUUAGGGGGUUGUUACAGUAGUCCAGGCAAGAGAUGGUGAGGCCAGGUGGCUGGAAUGCUUUAACCUCCUUCUUCAAUCUGAGUUAAAGACUAAGACGUGGAAUAUAAGAAAGCAUGAAGAAGCUUCCAGAAUGGGAUAACUUCUGUGAAAAGCAGGAUCCUGUUGGAAUGGUCACCAACACAUCUGAAGGUAGAGAUUCAGAGGACAGCCCUCCAAAUAAAGAGUCUUGUGCUUGUUUAAUGAAACAUCAAAGAAGCACCUGGAGAGACCACAGGAUCAUGAAAACGCACGUGAGCAGUGUUCCUGCUGGCUCAGAAGGUGUGUGAUGGCACCAGACAGACUCUGACUCCCUGCCACCAGAAACAGAGUAAAUUCAUCUCUACCCUGCGCACGGAGAAGCUGUUCCUCCUCGUAGGAGUUCACAGUGAGCCUCCGAGCAGUGGGGAUAGCACCCCGUGGCAAUCAGUGUCGACGGGUCUGGAGCAGGCCUUACACCGCUGAGAUGGCUUCUCUUCCUUUCGUCUCUAAACUGCUUCUCCCCCCAGAUUUCUUUUUGCUCUUAUCCUUUGGCAAAAAGUGUGCAUCUACCCUUCGUAGCAAACUGAGCAGAUUCCACUGUAUGUUCUUCAGGGGCAAAUUAGGACUCAGAGCUCCACAUUCUCCAGAAGCGAUAAAGGCCAUGUCACUUAAUCCCUUUGCUGGGUCUUGACCAGCCUUGGGAGGGCAGCUUCAAAGACCGAAGUGGUGCAGAGCCCUGGCCCGACUGGAUCCCGUCCCCUUAUGUUUCCAUGCUUCCCCGCUUUUGAUGAUGCUACUGCGCUGGGAGCAGGAACUGAAGGCGGGUGCUCUGACACUCAGAGACACAUCUCUCAACACAAGAAGUAGGAGAAAGGGUUCAAUCGUCUUAGCAGGAACUGGAGAUGUGUGCACAAGAUGCACUGCUCAGCGUGUCUGGGAGCCCCAGAGCUGCCGCAAGAGGAUAGGCAGCCCACGGAUGGAGAAAUGAUUUUAAGGAGAAGAGACCGUGGGCCUGUAAAUGCAAGUAGCUGCCAUUUAUGGAGCAUUCGUCUGCUCUUUGAAUUCCCGCGAGAACCAGCGCCCACGCACGGUGCAACAGAAGUGAGAGGGACUCUUCUGCAAAGCUGUGCUUUUGAAAUCGCUCUUUCAGCAGUCAUUCCAUAUUGCCGUGCUGGGUCUGGAGAGGCAGAACCAUAUUAGAAUUCCACGAAAAACCUUUCGGAUAGAAUUCAGGAGUAGCGGUGGAGUUUGGUUGGACAAAUGACUUUCCUGUCCUCUGCGUCCUCAUCCAUGCCUAGAGGGGAAUGAUGGCCUAAUGCUGGCAGAGGAUUCCAUAGUUUCUUAACUCAUCCUGCUAACACAGUCUAGCACCUUCCAAGGAGUACAGGAUGUGGAGAUAUUUAACAACUAUUGUACUUGUUCUCAGAUUUGGGGGCCUCAGCUGAAACUCUGAAUCAACAGGAAAAGUCACAUCUUAACAUAGUAUUAUGUAUAUGUCAUAGGCUCUUACUAGUAGUUCUUCGGUGUAUUAUGAUUUAAAUCAUGUUCCUUGACAAAAUAAAUUUGGAAAACACUGCUCUAUUGUUUUGCUUUUAAGUAUGAUGUAAGCUAUUGGUUUGGGAUAACUUUUUAAUCUUGUUAAGGGAGUAUUCUAUAUGCAAUUUAUUUAACUUUUUAUCAGAAAUGGAUAUUAAAUUUUGUUAAAUGCCUUUGACAUUUGUCAAGAUGAACAUAAAGUUUGUCUCUUUUGACCCAUUGAUGUGAUCAAUGAUAUUUUUAGAUUUCCCAAUAUUGAAU
rnacentral:lncRNA from 1 species